UGGCACGACUUCGAUCUCCUAUCUCUCUCUCUCUCGUUACAAACUUAAGGAGAAAUGUGAAACCCUAACCUCCCUCCGUGACAUCUUCCCGCCGUCUCUCUCUUGCCGUCGCCGCUGGCCGAACUUCGAUCAGGAAUUGCAAAGACAUUGGUCAGAGCUGCCAUUCAAGAGGUUGCAAAGAAGAAAGAGAUGAGAUACGCUUUCCUGCACUAAUGCACCAGUUGACAUCCUCUCCCUAAAUGCAGAUGAGGCUGAAGAUGAUCUUCUUCACCCAGUUUUGUAGAGCAACAAAACCCUUUGAGGCUGAGGACUAUAUCAUAGUCUUCUAUUUGUUUGUUCUUUUUAUUUUUUAUUUUUUAUUUUUUUUUGGAAAGAAGGUUUGAAUAUAGAAAGGUACAGUCCUACUGAUAAUCGAGUUUGAUGGAUGCUAACUGAUGAGGCUAUAUCAGUACGAUAGAAUAUAGGUUUUUUUUUU